AGUGAACGCUGGCGGUAGGCCUAACACAUGCAAGUCGAACGGAAGCACAGUAAGAUCUUGCUCUUACGGGUGGCGAGUGGCGGACGGGUGACGAAUACAUCGGAAUCUACUUUUUCGUGGGGGACAACGGAGGGAAACUUACGCUAAUACCGCAUAUGACCUACGGCUGAAAGCAAUGGAUCUUCGGACCUUUCGCGAUUGAAUGAGCCGAGUUCGGAUUAGCUAGUUGGCGGGGUAAAGGCCCACCAAGGCGACGAUCCGUAGCUGGUCUGACAGGAUGAUCCGGCACACUGGAACUGAGACACGGUCCAGACUCCUACGGGAGGCAGCCGUGGGGAAUAUUGCACAAAGGGCGCAAGCCUGAUCGAGCCAUACCGCGUGGGUGAAGAAGGCCUUCGGGUUGUAAAACCCUUUUGUUGGGGAAGAAAAAAAGCAGGUUAAAACCCCGCUGUUCUGACGGUACCCAAAGAAUAAGCCCCGGCUAACUUCGUG
rnacentral:rRNA from 1 species